rnacentral:rRNA from 1 species
UUGGAGGGCAAGUCUGGUGCCAGCAGCCGCGGUAAUUCCAGCUCCAAUAGCGUAUAUUAAAGUUGUUGCAGUUAAAAAGCUCGUAGUUGAAUUUCGGGGUUCCACCGUUGGUCGGGCUAUUGUUUGUACUGGCGUGUGGAAUUUCUACCUUCUGGGGAACUAUCAUGUUAUUAAUUUAGCGUGGUAGGAAACCAGGACCUUUACCUUGAAAAAAUUAGAGUGUUCAAAGCAGGCUUAUGUCUGAAUACAUUAGCAUGGAAUAAUAAAAUAGGACGGUGGUCCUGUUUUGUUGGUUUCUGAAUCACCGUAAUGAUUAAUAGGGAUAGUUGGGGGCAUUAGUAUUCAAUUGUCAGAGGUGAAAUUCUUGGAUUUAUUGAAGACUAACUACUGCGAAAGCAUUUGCCAAGGAUGUUUUCAUUAAUCAAGAACGAAAGUUAGGGGAUCGAAGACGAUCAGAUACCGUCGUAGUCUUAACCAUAAACUAUGCCGACUAGGGAUCGGAUGGUGUUAAUUUUUUAAUGACUCAUUCGGCGCCUUACGGGAAA